UUGUGCUGUCUCUCACAAGAUAGCAUCAAUGAGGUGUUAGUAGAUAUUGUGGACAGUAGAGGAGUAACCAGUUGAACAGAAUUGCAGCACAGACUCACAGAAGGCUGGUGGAUGGAAGGCUGCCAGAUUCCACCUUUUCUGUGCUUCUCAUGUAUGCUGUCAUUUUGUCUGAAGCUGUGUCCUAAAUGUUGUUAGGGUGGGCAAGGACAAAAUUGGAAGGGCCAGACCCUAGCGGAGAUCAAUCUAUCUAUUGCUGUCAGAGACAAUAAGAAAGGUUUUUAUAAUGAAAGGAGAGCAGAGGGGAAGGGAGGGGAGGGGAGGGGAGGGAAAAGAGAAUCUUCAUCCUUUAUUGGAUGUGGGAAAACAGAAUUAGAAGAGAUGUGGAAAAGGCUGAGGUACUUAAUGCAUUCUUUACCUCAGUGUUUAGCAGCAAGACCAGUUGUUCCCCUAGUACUCAGCCCUCUGAGCUGGUAGAUAAGGACCUUCAGCAGAAUGAAGCUCUCAUGAGGAAAUGUUGAGAAAACUGCUACUGCACUCAGAUGUGCACAAGUCUAGGGGGCUAGAUGGCAUCCACCCGUUGUUACUGAGGGAGCUGGCUGAAGUGCUCUCCAAGCUGCUUUCCAUCACUGACCAGCAGUCCUGGCUAUCAGGGGAGGUCCCAGUCACCCGGUGACUAGCAAACGUGACGUCUGUCUACAAGAAGGGCCGGAAGGAGGAUCCGGGGAACUACAGGCCUGUCAGUCUGAUCUUGGUGCUGGGGAAGCUCAUGGAGCAGAUUGUCUUGAGUACCAUCACGCAACGCUUCCAGGACAAGCAGUUCUCUCCUUCAUUGCAUUGGAUAAAUAGAUCUGUAGUGCUGAGCUGCCUCCUGGGUCAAACCACUGCAAGUCUUUUUGGUGCCUAGCAUGGAGCACAAAGGUUGAGAUGACAAAUCGGACCAGAGCAUUUUAAAAGUAAAUUGUUAUAAGCAAUAGAUCAGUUUAACAGUUGCUUUAACAGUUGCUGAUCACAAUGUUGAUCUUUUUGAUCUUGGGGCUGUUGUGCUUGUUUUCAGAAUUGUGUUGUAUAGCACAUCACUAACUGUCUGUCUUCCAUGUCAUGCUGUUCAUCAAUUCUGGGGGCUGGUUUAAGGUUACUGUUUUGAUGUAUGGGAUAACACUGACUUAUGACAGGAUAAAAUUAUUGCCACCUCUGUACCUCGGGAACCAUCUCUUCAUCUCUUAGAAACUAUUAAUAGUUACAUUAUUUUACACUUUUUGCCUUUUCUCCUGUGCAGGGUGGGGCAGGAGGUGGGGGGAUGGAACUGGUGUGGACAGUGGGGGACGUUUCUCCCCACUUCUUCACUCUCCCUUUCUUCUUCUCCUCCGGGCUAAUUACAAUAGCUCUUGAAAGCUUUGAAUAUCCGUGGGAUGGCCGAACCAGCAUGUUUCUGUUGUCCCAUCUCCUAAAUGUGAUUCAGGUUUUGUAUAAUUUUAAACAACUACUUAAGCAUGCCAUCCAGAGAUCUUUCCAGAGGCAGGAGAGUUAGGAGUGGCAGGGACUGUGUGAGGAUAUGGGCAGGAACCUAGAGCAGUGGGCACCUCCAGUGCUUUGGAGCUUCACCUCUGAGAAUGUGCAGAAUCCUAGAAAAAACUGUGAAAUGCUUGAAAACUGCGUGUGAUCACCCUGGCAUUUCCAAAGAGACACAAAUUACUGGAAUGUGCUGGGGCUUGACCUGUGCUUAACAAGCCACAGGCAACACGUCUCCGACCCCUGGGACUUUUCCUGCAGGCACACGCCAGUCCCUGUGGCAGGCCCAUCAGCCACUCCAACUUCUCCUGGACAGAUGCUCCAUUCUGUCAGUUGUUAAUUUCUGUAGGCAGAUGACUCACCCUGAUUGUGCUGUCUCUCACAAGAUAACAGCAACAGGAGUUGCAGGACGCUUUAGAGAAUACGGCAGUAAGCAGUUGAACGGAAUUACAGCAUAGACUCAGGUAAGGGCAGGGGAUGUAAGGCUGCCACGUUCCACCUUUUCUGUGCUUUUUUUCCAUCCAUUUUUUCGUUUGGUGUGGAGCUCAGUCCUCCAUGUCUUGAAGCUGUGCAGGGACAAAAUCAGAAUGGCCAAAUCCUAACUGGAGCUCUAUCUGACUAUUACUAACAAAAAGAGUAAUUAUAUAUAUAUAUAUAUAUAUAUAUA